CUCGCGUCGCGGUCCUUCGUGACGCCGAGCAUCAUCGCUGCGUUAGCGGAAGCUGUGAUGUCGGUGGGGUCGGCGCGCCUUCAGCCAGGCCUUGUCGGGUCCUGCUCUCCGAUCCAAGGGCUGUUUGUGGAUUCCGGUGGACACAGUCUCACCGUCUGUGACUUACAAACAUGUCCCCCCCUUCUCUGGGUGUCUUAUCCCUCCCAGGUAAUGUCCUUGGAUGGACAACGGAUUCAUUCUACUGUCACUCGUGACAGGCAGACGUCGGGCCACCUCCUAUCCGGUGGUCUGGCGACCUCCUUACCAACUCCUGUCCUUCCUGCGCGCUCCGAGACUGGGGAGGAGCUUCCCCUUUAACUUUGGGUUCAUCAUUUACAUUGAGGUGAGUUUUUCCUUUGUCUUAGAGUUGGAGACAUACCUACAGGGAACGACUUUGAGCAUGUGCAAGCUUUCUGGCUUUCACUGCUGUAGGGAGUGGGGUCCAGUUGUUCUUGAGUCUGAUCUUGUGACUCUUUGCAUGACCUGAUGACUUUUAUAUUGAGGGUUAGCCUAAAACCAAAAUGGCUUUACGUUGGUCAACUUGUCUUCUGGGUGUCCCUCCCUCACCUCUUGCUCAGGUACAGCGGGUCCUACCAAGACCUCCCCCCUCAUACCCUGGCUGCAGAACUGAUGGCCUUGUGGUCCCUUGGAUGCCAUCUGGCCAAGGAUUAGGGUGGCCAGGACCCCUCUGGCCAGGGAUUCCUGGGGAAAGUGGGGACCUGUCUGGAUUCUGGGACCCCAACCCCACAGCCAAGGGUGGGAGCUGGGUUGGGGGCCCCUAAGGGUAUUGGGAGAACCAGUAUACAACCCAUUCAGGUGGGAACCAGCCCCCACCCAGGCAACCCCCACCCCCACCAUGCACUCACUAUCUCAAUGCCUUUCCCCAGGAGGGCCCUAAGGGCAGGAGCACAUGAAGGCGAGGCCCACCCAAAGCCACAGAGAGGAGCCUGGGAGUGCUCCCUCUUGGAUGGUGCCUGAGCCCCUGCACCCUGAGGGAUCUGCUCUCCCCUGCUAGAACCUGUGACCUGGCAGAGCUUCUGACCACAACCUCACAUCUCCUGAUGGGGCGGCCAUCGAGCACUGGAGCUGGGUCCCUCCUCCCAGACUGGGAUAUCCUGACUCAGUUUCCCCACGGAGCUCCCCCUUGUCCAGAGCUGGGACAGAGGGGACAGGUAUGAACGGGACAGGAGGGCCUGGGGACUUCAGGUGUUGGGAAUCAGUGUGGGAAUGAGGUCCUCAUGGCUCUGUGUCCUUCCUCUAAGAACAGAGACCCUGCACCUCUGGAGCUUGACCAAGUGUUCCCUGCAACCCAUUUCUUACCACACAGUUCUCAGGCUCUCUCCACACAGGAGUCCUGAAAUUUGGGUCCCCUCCAACACCUAGAAAACACUGGGACUGGGACCCAGCUCCGGGUCUGUGAUGUAGGAAAGAUGUUGGGUUUCGAAGCCGACAGCCAAGAAAGAAUUCUUGAGAUGUCUUUGGUGCAGAAAGGUGGUUUUAUUCAAGUACAGGGAACAGGACCCUUGGGCAGAAGGAGCUGCACUGGGGCCAUGAGGAGUGGCCCAUUACAUCCAUGCAAGUUGGUCCGGUGUUAGGGAGAGCGUAUGUCUGGAAGGAAUUCUGGAAGCAAGGUUUCCAGAAUCUAGAGGGUGUAGCUGUUGUUGGGAAAAGUGCCUCAUUACUGUUUUGUAAACCCUGAGUCAUGAAACCCUUCAAAUGUGUAUCAGUGGGUUGGUCAAUUAUAUGCUUGUGGGAUGAUUGCCAACAUGUAUCUUGGGGAAUAGAAAGAAAGGAAGUUUCCAAAGGAAUUUUUAUACCUUCAAGUAGACUUACAGGACCCUGGGGGGUCAGGCUAGGAUUGCCUUCUGCCCUUAGCAUAGUAUCAACAUCAAAGCCGUUGAGUCCCUAGAGGAAUGUCACUCUGCUUGUUUCAGGGACCUGUCAUUGGGCUGUAAGUAGUAAGGAAAUGUAAUGGUUUCUCUUCCACCUUUGUUUCCCACAGCAGUCCGUUUCUCCCGAGAGUGAGAACACCUUGACCACAGGAGGCCCUGUCCAGUCCAGCCACGCUGGCCCUGUACUCCUCUGGGUGCCCCCAUCAGUCUGACUUCCCCUUCUACGUGGAAGAGAAAAGCCCCUUCCUGUCUGAUUUGAGAUGCUUGUACCUCUUGGAUCAGUUUAUUGUCACCUGAGUCAAGUUUCUCCUUAUACCAAAUCCAGAUCUGUUCGCUAUUAGACAGACAUGCAUUUACCUCGGGAACCCACUGCCUCUGGAGAGCUUGGUGCUCCUGGGAGUUGGAACUAUUUAAGAAGCAAAUUUCGGGGUGUCUGGGUGGCUCAGUUGGUUAAGUGUCUGCCUUCAGCGCAGGUCAUGAUCCCAGAGUCCUGGGAUGGAGCCCCACAACAGGCUCCUUGCUCGGCGGGGAGCCUGCUUCU
ensembl:lincRNA